UGGGGAAUAUUGGACAAUGGGGGCAACCCUGAUCCAGCGACGCCGCGUGGGUGAAGAAGGCCUGCGGGUUGUAAAGCCCUUUCGGUUGGGAAGAAAAGCUGUGACCUAACACGUCGCGGCCUUGACGUAACCAACUAAAGAAGCACCGGCUAACUCUGUGCCAGCAGCCGCGGUAAUACAGAGGGUGCGAGCGUUAAUCGGAAUUACUGGGCGUAAAGCGCGCGUAGGCGGCUUUGCAAGCCGGAUGUGAAAUCCCCGGGCUUAACCUGGGAACUGCAUUCGGGACUGCAUUGCUAGAGUAUGGGAGAGGGAAGUGGAAUUUCAGGUGUAGCGGUGAAAUGCGUAGAUAUCUGAAGGAACAUCAGUGGCGAAAGCGACUUCCUGGACCAAUACUGACGCUCAUGUGCGAAAGCGUGGGGAGCAAACAGGAUUAGAUACCCUGGUAGUCCACGCCAUAAACGAUGAGAACUGGAUGUCGGAGGGUCUGCCUCUCGG
rnacentral:rRNA from 1 species